AUUGAACGCUUGCGGCAUGCCUUACACAUGCAAGUCGAACGGCAGCACGGGUGCUUGCACCUGGUGGCGAGUGGCGAACGGGUGAGUAAUACAUCGGAACGUACCGUAUCGUGGGGGAUAACGCAGCGAAAGUUGCGCUAAUACCGCAUACGCCCGGAGGGGGAAAGCGGGGGACCGUAAGGCCUCGCGCGCGGAGAGCGGCCGAUGUCUGAUUAGCUGGUUGGUGAGGUAAAAGCUCACCAAGGCGAUGAGCAUUAGCUGGUCUGGGAGGACGGUCAGCCACACUGGGACUGAGACACGGGCCAGACUCCAACGGGAGGCAGCAGUGGGGAAUUUUGGACAAUGGGGGCAACCCUGAUCCAGCAAUGCCGCGUGAGUGAAGAAGGCCUUCGGGUUGUAAAGCUCUUUUGUCAGGGAAGAAACAGCAGCUCUAACACAGUCUGCGAAUGACGGUACCUGAAGAAUAAGCACCGGCUAACUACGUGCCAGCAGCCGCCGCAG
rnacentral:rRNA from 1 species